rnacentral:pre_miRNA from 1 species
CGGGGGAGGCCGGAUCCUGGGCUGCGUCUGGCGCCCUGUGCUGUGGGGCCUGCGCUGGUGGAUUCGCGCUCCCGCCCCGCAGCCCCCU